rnacentral:tRNA from 1 species
GGCCCAUACCCCGAAAAUGUUGGUUUAAACCCUUCCCGUACUA